rnacentral:rRNA from 1 species
GAUGAACACUGGCGGCGUGCCUAAUACAUGCAAGUCGAGCGAACAGACGAGGAGCUUGCUCCUUCGACGUUAGCGGCGGACGGGUGAGUAACACGUAGGUAACCUACCUAUAAGACUGGGAUAACUUCGGGAAACCGGAGCUAAUACCGGAUAAUAUUUCGAACCGCAUGGUUCGAUAGUGAAAGAUGGCUUUGCUAUCACUUAUAGAUGGACCUGCGCCGUAUUAGCUAGUUGGUAAGGUAACGGCUUACCAAGGCAACGAUACGUAGCCGACCUGAGAGGGUGAUCGGCCACACUGGAACUGAGACACGGUCCAGACUCCUACGGGAGGCAGCAGUAGGGAAUCUUCCGCAAUGGGCGAAAGCCUGACGGAGCAACGCCGCGUGAGUGAUGAAGGUCUUCGGAUCGUAAAACUCUGUUAUUAGGGAAGAACAAACGUGUAAGUAACUGUGCACGUCUUGACGGUACCUAAUCAGAAAGCCACGGCUAACUACGUG